AACGGUGGAAGGAUAACA
rnacentral:miRNA from 1 species